rnacentral:rRNA from 1 species
AUUGAACGCCGGCGGCAUGCUUUACACAUGCAAGUCGAACGGUAACAGGGUGCUUGCACCGCUGACGAGUGGCGAACGGGUGAGUAAUGCGUCGGAACGUGCCGAGUAGUGGGGGAUAACGUAGCGAAAGUUACGCUAAUACCGCAUACGAUCUAUGGAUGAAAGCGGGGGACCGUAAGGCCUCGCGCGAUUGGAGUGGCCGAUGUCAGAUUAGGUAGUUGGUGGGGUAAAGGCCUACCAAGCCGACGAUCUGUAGCUGGUCUGAGAGGACGACCAGCCACACUGGGACUGAGACACGGACCAGACUCCUACGGGAGGCAGCAGUGGGGAAUUUUGGACAAUGGGCGCAAGCCUGAUCCAGCCAUGCCGCGUGCGGGAAGAAGGCCUUCGGGUUGUAAACCGCUUUUGUCAGGGAAGAAACACUCUGGACUAAUACUCUGGGGUGAUGACGGUACCUGAAGAAUAAGCACCGGCUAACUACGUGCCAGCCGCCGCCGUAAGAC